AAACCAUGCAUCAUACAUUUUUACAGCAAGUUCGUAAACCUCUCCUUUGCUUCAUAAAAGUUUUCAUUUUUCAUUUGCUUGAAAGAUGCGAUGUCAUUUCUCAGCCU